GCCGCCAUAGCUCAGCCCGGCAGAGCGGCAGUUUCGUAAACUGCAGGUCGGGGGAUCGAAGCCCUCUGGCGGCUCCC
rnacentral:tRNA from 1 species